UACAGAGGGUGCAAGCGUUGUUCGGAAUUAUUGGGCGUAAAGCGCGUGUAGGCGGCUUUGCAAGUCGGGUGUGAAAGCCCUCGGCUCAACCGAGGAAGUGCGCCGGAAACUGCAGAGCUUGAGUGCCGGAGAGGAUGGCGGAAUUCCCCAAGUAGAGGUGGAAAAUUCGUAGAUAGUGGGGAGGAACGACCGGUGGCGAAGGCGGCCAUCUGGACGGUAACGUGGACGCGUGAGACGGCGAAAGCGGUGGGGAGCAACAGGG
rnacentral:rRNA from 1 species